AUGUCUGGUGGGCACCUUAUGGUUAAGUCCUUAAACCUCUCCUAUGCCUCAUAGAGAGUUUCACCAUCUUCUUGCUUGAAGGUUUGUAACUCAGCUCUUAACCU